rnacentral:rRNA from 1 species
UACGUAGGGGCAAGCGUUGUCCGGAAUUAUUGGGCGUAAAGAGCGCGUAGGCGGUCCGAUAAGUCUGCUGUGAAAGUCAGGGGCUCAACCCUUGGACGCCGGUGGAUACUGUCGGGCUAGAGUCCGGAAGGGGCGACUGGAAUUCCUGGUGUAGCGGUGAAAUGCGCAGAUAUCAGGAGGAACACCUAUGGCGAAGGCAGCUCGCUGGGACGGUACUGACGCUGAGGCGCGAAAGCGUGGGGAGCGAACAGGAUUAGAUACCCCCAGUAGU